GACCAUUUACACGGACGUCGCGACCCGUUCGGUGUCGGUCUGCAGGAGACGUGCGAAAGUUCGUGUGCGUUCGCCGGGGUUUCGGCUUCGGCGGGCGUUUCGCGAGUGCGCGUUCUUUUCUGGCCGACUCGCCGGACGGUAUGCGAAGCGGUGAUCGCGGCGGCCUCUCGUCAGCGCCGUCGCGUUACCGGUCUGCGACGAAUCUUCGGGCCUCUUUCCGACCCGUCUUGAAACACGGACCAAGGAGUCUAACGUGCGCGCGAGUCGCGGGGUGUCGAGCGGCUGGCGGCGUUCGCUUGCGGGCGUCGUCGGCCGUUCGUUACAAUACGAAACCCGUCUCGUUUUACGAAAGGCGCAAUGAAAGUGAAUUUACGGGGAAGAUGACGUUACCGAGUUCACGUUCCGCGCUCUCGAAGCGCGGCCGGUCGUCCGCAUUCCCAGGGCGUCCCAAUGGCCCGGCGGCGUUGCGGACUGUCGUUCCUUCGGGGGCGGCGGUCGGGCGUCGUCGAACCGGGGCGCACCUAUAGCGUGCACGUUGGUACCCGAAAGAUGGUGAACUAUGCCCGGCCAGGAUGA
rnacentral:rRNA from 1 species